rnacentral:piRNA from 1 species
AGGGCAUCGCUAACGAGGAAGCCGUCCACGA